rnacentral:lncRNA from 1 species
UGUGUGGAAAUGAGCUCUUGUUAGAGUUUCAAAGGAAUUAAUAUAUUUUUUUUUGGUAAAAUGUGCUAAUGUAAAGAGUUAGAAGAUUAGUGAUGUUUAAUGAAUAGAAUGCAUUCUUUCUCAUGGAAAUGGGAAUAUAAUAAGUGUCCUGUAGGUGACUGGGUUGUAGCAAUUUUAUUGAAGAUUAAAGUUUGAUUGACCUUUGUUAGGGUGAUUAACCUUUCAGAAAUUAAAAGCCAGAUUGGAAUUAGUCUGUCCAAUUUAAAUGCAAA